rnacentral:rRNA from 1 species
AUUGAACGCUGGCGGCAGGCCUAACACAUGCAAGUCGAGCGGAUGAAGGGAGCUUGCUCCUGGAUUCAGCGGCGGACGGGUGAGUAAUGCCUAGGAAUCUGCCUGGUAGUGGGGGAUAACGUCCGGAAACGGGCGCUAAUACCGCAUACGUCCUGAGGGAGAAAGUGGGGGAUCUUCGGACCUCACGCUAUCAGAUGAGCCUAGGUCGGAUUAGCUAGUUGGUGGGGUAAAGGCCUACCAAGGCGACGAUCCGUAACUGGUCUGAGAGGAUGAUCAGUCACACUGGAACUGAGACACGGUCCCGACUCCUACGGGAGGCCGCAGUGGGGAAUAUUGGACAAUGGGCGGAAGCCUGAUCCAGCCAUGCCGGGUGUGUGAAGAAGGUCUUCGGAUUGUAAAGCACUUUAAGUUGGGAGGAAGGGCAGUAAGUUAAUACCUUGCUGUUUUGACGUUACCAACAGAAUAAGCACCGGCUAACUUCGUG